rnacentral:rRNA from 1 species
UGGGGAAUUUUGGACAAUGGACGCAAGUCUGAUCCAGCCAUUCCGCGUGCAGGAUGAAGGCCCUCGGGUUGUAAACUGCUUUUGGACGGAACGAAAAGCGCUGAGUUAAUACCUCGGCGUCAUGACGGUACCGUCAGAAUAAGCACCGGCUAACUACGUGCCAGCAGCCGCGGUAAUACGUAGGGUGCAAGCGUUAAUCGGAAUUACUGGGCGUAAAGCGUGCGCAGGCGGUUAUGUAAGACAGGUGUGAAAUCCCAGGGCUUAACCUUGGAACUGCAUUUGUGACUGCAUAGCUAGAGUACGGUAGAGGGGGAUGGAAUUCCGCGUGUAGCAGUGAAAUGCGUAGAUAUGCGGAGGAACACCGAUGGCGAAGGCAAUCCCCUGGACCUGUACUGACGCUCAUGCACGAAAGCGUGGGGAGCAAACA